rnacentral:ncRNA from 13 species
UUAAGUGAUGAGAAUUACGCUGUGCACCAGUCCAAGCGGAAAUUUUUGUACUCUCUGCUCUGACGACUCAGUAUACCCAUAUUCCUGAUU